rnacentral:rRNA from 1 species
UCAGGACGAACGCUGGCGGCGUGCCUAAUACAUGCAAGUCGAACGGUCUUUCUAUGGAAGCUUGCUUCCACUGAGAAGAUAGUGGCGAACGGGUGAGUAACACGUGGGUAACCUGCCCAUAAGAGGGGGAUAACAUCCGGAAACGGGUGCUAAUACCGCAUAGUUUUCUUGAUCGCAUGAUCGGGAAAGGAAAGACGGCCUUUGUGCUGUCGCUUAUGGAUGGACCCGCGGCGUAUUAGUUAGUUGGUGAGGUAACGGCUCACCAAGACGAUGAUACGUAGCCGACCUGAGAGGGUGAUCGGCCACAUUGGGACUGAGACACGGCCCAAACUCCUACGGGAGGCAGCAGUAGGGAAUCUUCCGCAAUGGACGAAAGUCUGACGGAGCAACGCCGCGUGAGUGAAGAAAGGUUUUCGGAUCGUAAAACUCUGUUGUCAGAGAAGAACAAGUUGGAGAGUAACUGCUCCAGCCUUGACGGUAUCUGACCAGAAAGCCACGGCUAACUACGUGCCAGCAGCGGC